rnacentral:rRNA from 1 species
GUGCCAGCCGCCGCGGUAAUACGUAGGCAGCAAGCGUUGUUCGGAGUUACUGGGCGUAAAGGGUGUGUAGGCGGUCUCGUAAGUCUGGUGUGAAAUCUCCCGGCUCAACUGGGAGGGUGCGCCGGAAACUGCGAGGCUAGAGUGUGGGAUGGGAGAGUGGAAUUCCUGGUGUAGCGGUGAAAUGCGUAGAUAUCAGGAGGAACACCUGCGGUGUAGACGGCUCUCUGGACCACUACUGACGCUGAAACACGAAAGCGUGGGUAGCAAACAGGAUUAGAAACCCCCGUAGUCC